rnacentral:rRNA from 1 species
UACGUAGGGGGCAAGCGUUGUCCGGAAUCAUUGGGCGUAAAGAGCUCGUAGGCGGUCUGUCGCGUCUGCUGUGAAAACUCAGGGCUUAACCCUGAGCUUGCAGUGGGUACGGGCAGACUAGAGUGCGGUAGGGGAGACUGGAAUUCCUGGUGUAGCGGUGAAAUGCGCAGAUAUCAGGAGGGAACACCGGUGGGCGAAGGCGGGUCUCUUGGGCCGUAACUGACGC